AUGCUGCUGAAGUUCGACCUCAAUGAGAUCAAAGUUGUAUAGCUGAGGAACACCAGGAGUGAAGUCAGUGCCAUCCUGUGUGGGCCCCCAAGAUUGCACCCGCCGCAUGGGUCUGUCCCCAAAAAAGGUUGGUGAUGACAUUGCCAAAGCAAUUGGUGACUGGAAGGGUCUGAGGCUUACAGUGAAAGUGACUAUUCAGAAAAGAUAGGCCCAGAUUGACAUGGUACCUUCUGCCUCUGCCCUGAUCAUCAAAGCCCUCAAGGAACUGCCGUGAGACAGAAAGAAACAGAAAAAUGUUAAACACAGCGGAAAUACCACCUUUGAUGAGAUUGUCAACAUUGCUCUACAGAUACAGCACCGACCUUUAACCAGACAACUCUCUGGAACCAUUAAAGGGAUUCUGGGGACUGCCCAGUCUGUGGGCUGCCAAGUUGGUGGCCGCCACCCUCAUGACAUCACAGAUGACAUCAACAGUGGUGCGGUGGAGUGCCCAGCUACUUAG
rnacentral:lncRNA from 1 species